rnacentral:lncRNA from 1 species
CACAGUAAGUUACAUAAUUUUUAUUGUCCAAUAUGACAAAGAAAUUCUAAUUCUUCUGCGGGAGUAGUUUUAUCUGGGAUCUAAAAGUCAAGCAGGAAUUUAUUCUGUGUAUCCUCCUGGAAAGGGUAUUGAGGGACGCUAAAGACUCUCUUUAAACAAUUGAUAAAGAAAUCCCAUUAAACCCAUUCGUGUGGAUGGCCUCUAUGAACUUGCCAUCCAAGCUCACAGUGAGGCAUCAGCUCCUAACCAGGGGAAGGCGUUUAUGCCUCGCAGCUGAACGGGGGUUCGGGUGCGGUCUUCUGGUUCAUCUGCAGAGCUCUGCCUCCAGCAAGGCCCUUCACAUCCCGUGCUUCUCCAGCUUUGCACAAAAGCACCCUCACGUGAACACCACCAUGAUUUUAAUUUGAUGUUGAGCCAGACUCUCCAAGUCUAGAUGAGUAAAUUGCUUCUUUCCAAUGUUAUACGUCCUGUAUCCAAGCAUCUUGAUGCAGGUAUUCUACGCUGCUCCCCGUUCCAAUCAGGAAAGAGUAUCCUAAGAAAGGGUCUAAGAUUUUCCAGGAGUGAGGGGUCAGGCCUUAGCAAGGUCAGCACUGAUAGCAUAUUGCUCUGUUGGCCCCAUCAUCUGCAUGGGGGCUUCUGGGAUGGCGUUGUUGAGUUCAUGUUCGUCUUUGGGCUUUUUGUAGCCCCACAUUUAUGCAGCUGUCUGGGAAAAGGAGAACUUGGUCUGAAAGUUACUAGGUGUGCUCCCUCCGUGAGUGAUCACCCUGAGAGCAGUUGCAGACAUUUGUGUUAAUUAGUUAAUUUAAUUUUAUGUGCACCUAGUUAGUGCUCUAAAAGAGAAUCUACAAAUUAAUGGCAGCUCACGUGCAAAUGACUGAAAUUCAUAGCCCGGGCUUUAUGGUUUUGGUUUUCGUUUUUAAACAGCCCUACAGCCUGUGGGCCAGCACUGGGUAUUUCCUUCUAAUCCUCAAAAAAGUAUUUCUGAUUCAUUGAAAACCUAAUUGCACAGCUCAUAAGGGAAGUUCCUUCUAAAAUGAAAACCCAGCAUCCCGGGGGCAUCGGCCCUUACUCAUUUCCACCCGUUACCAAUUGCAGACUCACUCAGCUGCCAGCACCACUCUCCUC